CUAGAGAUAGAAAGUUACUUCGGUACAUCGGUGACAGGUGGUGCAUGGUUGUCGUCAGCUCGUGUCGUGAGAUGUUGGGUUAAGUCCCGCAACGAGCGCAACCCUCGUCCUUAGUUGCUAACAGUUCGGCUGAGCACUCUAGGGAGACUGCCUUCGCAAGGAGGAGGAAGGUGAGGACGACGUCAAGUCAUCAUGGCCCUUACGGCCAGGGCUACACACGUGCUGCAAUGGGGCGUACAGAGAGCUGCGAUACCGCGAGGUGGAGCCAAUCUCUUAAAGCGUCUCUCAGUUCGGAUUGUUCUCUGCAACUCGAGAACAUGAAGCUGGAAUCACUAGUAAUCGCAGAUCAGCUAUGCUGCGGUGAAUACGUUCCCGGGUCUU
rnacentral:rRNA from 1 species